GCUAGCCUAGCACUAGAACUGCCAAGAAUGUCAAAACUACUAAAACUAACAAGGUGGUCAUUUGGACCGUUGGAAAUUAAACUCACAAUUUCACCAGCAGAACAUUUUUUUUUUUUUUCAUUUUUAAGAAAGUCGUUUUUUUAAAAAACAAUUUAGCGGUCAAAAUGAUCUGUCACUACCUUUGUAGUGCUAGUCAAGUCAUCCUUGGUCAAGGUCUUGUUAAGUGUGGGACCAGCAAUGGAGAGUGUAGAACAUCUGCAUAGGUGAUGAGCAACACAAGGACUGGUGACUGUACAAAGCUCAGCCGUCUGUGGAGUGGACAUUAGUGGGGCCCGUGGGGCUUGAUGCGUCAUGUCAGUGCUUACAGCAACCAUUUUGACCGAGGAAGUCCUACAGUAUGCUCAACCCUGUCCUGACUUUCUCGCCUUUCAGGAGGAAGUUCUUGUGCCUAUCAUGUUUCUGGCUGCCAUCCAGUUAGAGGGGUAAACUCCAGAGCUGACACGCUCUCUUGAUCGGAGCGCGAUGACCGGAUAGACGGAAAAUAAAGUGGGCUUGAACUUAUCAAAGUGUUGUUCUGACAGACACCAGGGGACAUGAAAAGACUCCAAAUGAUGUCAACAUGCCAAGUUUUGCUGUUGUCCUUUUUCUCAGAAUGUGAAAGACCAAAUGAGAAAUGAAUGACAGUUCAAAGUCUGCCAAUAUAUAAUGGCAUGAUAAUGCCUGAAUACAUAUGUUAGUCAUUAGGGUAAAGACGAGACAGUACAGUUCAUUUGCUACACUAAAGGGAGACAACUGAGGACUCAAGUUGUCAGAGAUGAGAUGUUCCGACAAACCUGUCACUUCAUGAGCUUCAAAUGCCUGACCUCUUCAAACUUUCCUGAAAAGCUUUCAUGUGUGUCCAAUCUUUGCAUGUCAUUAAAUUUAAAGGAUAUUAAA